rnacentral:lncRNA from 1 species
AGCUUUAAUCAGGAAUAGAAACCAUGCUGUACUUGGGUCGAUUUUAAAGGGAGGCUUCUUCUCUGGUUUCCUGUUCUGACCUCCUCUCAACCAUGAAUGCCUAUACUGUGUUGGUGGCCCUGAUGAAGAAAUGUGCUUCUUCAUUUAGACCCAGGAUGGCUGACGGUUUUCUGAUUGAUUCGUAGCAAAACCUGGAAAGCUAGAUUGAGCGAUUUAAAGCCCAGGCCAAGUGCAGCAGCUUGCUUGAGUCCUGGUGGAAAAGGCCUUGUAUGGAAGCCCCAGGGACAACUUCCACCACUGAGGAAUUUUCAGUCUUCUGCAUCUGUCAAUCAACUGAACCAUUUAUAGCUGGUGUCUUCUUUUCUCGUGCCCAUAAGCCCUGUCACUGUUGAGCUGGGCCCACCUUAAGACUGAUGUCCUUUGCAAUUUCUGGGACUACUGCAAGUGCUCCUAACUGUCCUCCCUGCCUCCAGCCUUCCAACCUGCAGCCACUCGAGUUGCCUUCCUACACGUCAGAGCCGACCAUGCCAUUCUCCUGCUUAAAAACCCAUCUCACUGGCUAUGGGACCAAAUGAAACCUUCAAUGCUUGACACACAAGCCUUUUCCAACGUGGCC